rnacentral:tRNA from 1 species
CGGCGAGUAGCGCUGCUUGGUAGCGCAACUGGUUUGGGACCAGUGGGUCGGAGGUUCGAAUCCUCUCUCGCCGACCA